UUUUUCGGAAUGAAGUUGCUUAUGACUGAGUGGCGGACGGGUGAGUAACGCGUGGGUAACCUGCCUUGUACUGGGGGAUAGCAGCUGGAAACGGCUGGUAAUACCGCAUAAGCGCACAAUGUUGCAUGACAUGGUGUGAAAAACUCCGGUGGUAUAAGAUGGACCCGCGUCUGAUUAGCUGGUUGGUGAGGUAACGGCCCACCAAGGCGACGAUCGGUAGCCGGACUGAGAGGUUGAACGGCCACAUUGGGACUGAGACACGGCCCAGACUCC
rnacentral:rRNA from 1 species